UACGGAGGGUGCGAGCGUUGUUCGGAAUCACUGGGCGUAAAGGGCGCGUAGGUGGCGCGGGCAGUCAACGGUGAAAGUUCGGGGCUCAACCCUGAAUCGGCCGUCGAUACUCCCGGGCUUGAGCACUGUAGAGGCAGAUGGAAUUCCGGGUGUAGCGGUGGAAUGCGUAGAGAUCCGGAAGAACACCGGUGGCGAAGGCGGUCUGCUGGGCAGUAGCUGACACUGAGGCGCGACAGCGUGGGGAGCAAACAGG
rnacentral:rRNA from 1 species